ACGUGUUCGCUAUAAGUUAGACGGAAACAGGCAUGUUUUGUUCAUUACGCCAACCCGGGGAUGUUGCCCUAAACCCCAAUUUAAGAAUUGAUCAAAAUUCUUGAGAGAAAAUGUGACUAUAUCUUGAUCUUGGGAGAAAUUUCAAAAAUGCAUAUGGAGCCACAUCUAAACUGAUGAUCAAAAUUCUUGAGAGAAAAUGUGACUAUAUCUUGAUCUUGGGAGAAAUUUCAAAAAUGCAUAUCGAGCCACAUCUAAACUGAUGAUCAAAAUUCUUGAGAGAAAAUGUGACUAUAUCUUGAUCUUGGGAGAAAUUUCAAAAAUGCAUAUCGAGCCACAUCUAAACUGAUGAUCAAAAUUCUUGAGAGAAAAACAGACUAUAUCUUGAUCUUGGGAGCAAUUUCAUAAAUGCAUAUGGAGCCACAUCUAAACUGAUGAUCAAAAUUCUUGAAAGAAAAUGUGACUAUAUCUUGAUCUUGGGAGAAAUUUCAAAAAUGCAUAUGGAGCCACAUCUAAACUGAUGAUCAAUAAUCUCAAUGGUGCAAUGCAGCGUACAACAAAGGCGAAUGUAAGAAAGAAAAAGCAUUAAACAUCCUAUACACUACAUAGAUAUGGUGACUUAGACUUAUUUAUAAUUAUGUAAUUGUUUUUCCACAAGUGAUAUUUUUAAUAAAUUUAUUUAUUUAUGAAA